GUGUAUGACUUUCAAAGCUUGUACCAUAUUAUUUAAAAUGGCUAAAGAGUUCAGUAUCAUUUAAUCUAUUAGUACAGGGAUCCCCAAUCCCCAGGCCAUGGGCUGAUUAGGAACGGGGCCACACAGGAGGAGGUGAGUGAGCAUUACUGCCUGAGCUCCACCUGCUGUCAGAGUAGCAGCGGCAUUCGAUUCUCAUAGGAGCACGAACCCUAUUGUGAACUGCACAUGCGAGAGAUCUAGG
rnacentral:lncRNA from 10 species